CAAGUACUCCCUCCGUCCGGAAAUACUUGUCCUAAAAAUGGAUGUAUGAGACUUAUUUUAAUUAUAGAUACAUCCAUUUGAUCCAUUUCGAGGACAAGUAUUUUCGGACGGAGGGAGCAGUCG
rfam:Triticum aestivum genome assembly, contig: Triticum_aestivum_CS42_TGACv1_scaffold_130783_2BL